rnacentral:misc_RNA from 1 species
UUUGAGUAUUAUUUCUUUUGAUUAGUUCACUACAUACAGUAUAUAACUAUAAACAUUGUUCUAUAUAUUCUUCUUUUCGAUAUUCUAACUUUCAGGCAUAGCCAUGAAUUCUAAAGGUUUUUCAAUUUUCUUUGACAACAGUCUCUUGUGGCUGAUACUAUAUCUGCUUGAAGGGGUUUUGAAUCCCUACUGAUGCUUUCAGAUCAAGAUUGUGCUACAAAUUCCAAGUACGAAUCAAAUGCCAUCUCUAAGAAUGAAGACAAAGCUAGCCACAUCCAGUUCGAAAGAAAAAAAUGGUCUCCAUGUCUGUCCAAAUUCUAGUGUCAUAUCCAAGAGUUCUCUCUCUCGAACCAGAAGUGUGCAGAAUGCAGACGAAGUUGCAGAUCUGAUUCACAAUACUCAUGAUGUUCCUAGCUACUACAAAGUUCAUCCACACCAAGUCGGAAGAAAUGGUGAUCAUGCUAAUGAUUUGGUAGAUGACCUUCUUGAAAAGCAACAGCCACCUGUUACUGAUUCUGCAAACCUUGAUACCACGGUUUUGGAAUCGGUGCAGGAGUCUACAGUAGUGAUCUGCAAACCAAGUUCAGAGACAAUCUUUUCACCUAGUGUGGAGCCUGUUAGUGGUGCGCACAGUGAGUCUGAUAUACCAAGUGAUGGAGCAAACAAUGAUUUUUAUGUACCCCAAUUGGAGACUGAAGAUAGUGAUAGCAGCAGAAGUUCGUGUGAACAUCAGACGUGCAAUGUUUCAGAUUUCUACAUCUCUGAUAUGAUUGUUUCUUGUUUGGCUGUUGAGGGUGAAACCAUCUAUGAUAACAGUUUGACUGACAGGUUCUUGGCUGAUUACAAGUGUGAAGAACCAAAUAUUUUUAAUAAUGUUGAUGAGGAAUACUUGCUGUUGCCUUUCCUUGAAGACACUGCAGCAGCUAGCUAUAGUCAAGUGUGCAGAACGUCUAGUGAAGAAACUGCUGUUCAGUCUGAUGAUUCGAGCUUAUACAUGGCAAUUCACCAGCUUAGAUCAUCUGAACAAUCUGAUGCUUUCACAUAUUUAGAAUCUGAUCAAGCAGAAUGCUUUGACCCACAUAUAUUCAUAAGAAAUUUGCCAGACAUAUUAGAGAGGCCAAGUAUUUUGCCAAACGAAUCAGAAACAUGCAAACCGAUCACCCUAGUACUUGACCUAGAUGAAACACUUGUUCAUUCUACACUGGAGCACUGUGACGAUGCAGACUUCACAUUU